CCUACGGGAGGCAGCAGUGGGGAAUUUUGGACAAUGGGCGCAAGCCUGAUCCAGCAAUGCCGCGUGAGUGAAGAAGGCCUUCGGGUUGUAAAGCUCUUUUGUGCGGGAAGAUAAUGACGGUACCGCAAGAAUAAGCCCCGGCUAACUUCGUGCCAGCAGCCGCGGUAAU
rnacentral:rRNA from 1 species